CUUUUAUUUCAAAGGUUUUACAUUAUUCACCUGCAAUCCUGUGGAACUCUUCUUUAAUGGCUCUCACUGGUUUGUGUCCAGGGAACACUACAAACAUGUUU